GAUGAACGCUGGCGGCGUGCUUAACACAUGCAAGUCGAACGCCCCGCAAUACGGAGCGGCAGACGGGAGAGUAACACGUGGGAACGUACCCUUCAGUACGGAACAACCAAGGGAAACUUUGGCUAAUACCGUAUACGUCCGUAAGGAGAAAGAUUUAUCGCUGAAGGAUCGGCCCGCGUCUGAUUAGCUUGUUGGUGAGGUAACGGCUCACCAAGGCGACGGUCAGUAGCUGGUCUGAGAGGAUGAUCAGCCUCACUGGGACUGAGACACGGCCCAGACUCCUACGGGAGGCAGCAGUGGGGAAUAUUGGACAAUGGGCGCAAGCCUGAUCCAGCCAUGCCGCGUGGGUGAUGAAGGCCCUAGGGUUGUAAAGCCCUUUCGGCGGGGAAGAUAAUGACGGUACCCGCAGAAGAAGCCCCGGCUAACUUCGUGCCAGCCGCCGCGGUAA
rnacentral:rRNA from 1 species